rnacentral:misc_RNA from 1 species
AUGCCAAGCGCAAAGUCAAGCAAAGCAAAGUCGGAAUCUGUCGGUAAGGUAGUGUAAAAAAUUAUCCGUUACAGGCAGUUUUUAAUUUCGCUAACUGAUGGCGUUCUGGUCGAUCAGAUGUCCGUUGAAGUUUCAGUUUGAAUUUAGUUUAAAAGGCUGAGAUAGAAAGAGCAACAAGAACAAACAUCGUCACGUUCGCGUGAACGUUGAUCGUUGGUUUUCGUCGCGUAAUCGAAUUAAUUAUUCAAGUUUAAAUGCCAAUAAUCAACGGAUUAGGCGACGUUAAUCUACUGUUACUUUACUUUAAACAAUAAGUGGUGAUCGGCGUGUGUGCUCAAUAUUUUGUCUCGAACAAAUAGGUGCUUCUAUUUUAGUCACUGAGUGAGAAAUGUUACUCAAUUCUUGACAGUUGACCUAUCCGCAGUCUUAUCUAUCCGGGAACUUGACGCUUGUGAUAAUUUCAGUGCAUAGGUUAUAAGUUGUCAAAGUUUCGUAAAAGUUCAUUCCACACUUUGGCAAUUUCUAGCCAACUGUAAACAAAUUCUGAAGAUACAGUUGAACAACGUUUUUCUUUAAACCUCUGAUACCAGAUUUGUAUAUUUUUAUUUAAAAAUGAGACAGUCGUGUUUCUUUGUUGUACUUUUUACCGUCUUGACGUACCAAGAUGGAAAUGCUUCGAUAUAUGAUUGGGUCUGGAGUAAAAAUUCCGAGGAAUCAAAUGAUGUCGUGCCAUCGGAUGGCAUUCCCUUGGUUUCCAUCCCUUAUGAAUCCAUGACGGAAGAUGAAAAGUUUCUCCAGGAGGCAGCAAAGUUUUCAGAAAUUCAAGUUUCCUCAGCGCUGGAUACUUGUCAGCACAAAGUCGUCAUGAAAAUAAAAACGUCAUGCAGUGACAUGACUGAGGAAGAACUUGCUAAAAUGAGCGUCAGCUUAUUGAAUUGUCAGUCUGCUGCCGAAGGGAGAAAAUUGUUUCCGUGCACCGAGGAAAUGACGCUAAGACAAUGCACGACGGAAAUGGAUCCAGAUAUGUGGAACGCGUAUCACUUAAUGAGCAACAGAGCAAGAGCUGUAUGUUAUGCAGCUAGAAAUAUUCAAUUUCGAGCUCUGACUGAAAUUACAGUAAAUAAACUGAUGAACACUGCGCAUUCGCAAAUCAAGGCGAUGGGCUCUCUGAAGGAAAGUCAAGAACGUCUUGAAGAGCAAACCAUAGAUGCUUUGAAUUCCGUUGCAACUGGCAACAAGGUUUUGCUUGAGCAACAGGAAUCGUUAAAGGAAGCCCAAUCCUCUGCUCAUAGUCUUGUGGCCAGGAAUCUUCAGAUAUUAAACAACGAAAAAGCUCUCAUCAGGUCUGGCCAUGCACAGCUACUUGCAAUGACGGAUGACAUCAGGAAGAAAUUAGAGAAAGCAAGCCAGGAACUUGCCGAUCACUCUACAGAACGGAAUGAGAAUCAUCAGGAGGUUUUAGCUGAUUUGAAGAAUAUGCAAGAACAAGCUCAUCAGAUUUGGGAUAGAAUUGAAUCCAGUACCAACCAUAUAUUAGAGCAUAAUAUGGAGGCCGCUGAACAAUAUGAGCAAACUCUGAAACAACUUGAUCAAAUAAACCAAACCGUUCAUUUUCUGUUGGACUUGACCAAUACAUUGAAAACUGAAGUUGACCAAAAACUUGGUUGGAUCACAAAUUACAUUGGCGACACUGGGGAUCAAUUUGAAAAAGUGUAUCGCACCGGGCUGCACGCUAUAUACUUACUCAUAGCUAUGAUUGUUGCAUCUUUUUUGCAAGCACCUUUUCUAACUAGAUUUACUAUAAUGGGUAUUUUACCAUUGAAUCUUUUGUCAUACUUGAAAGAAGGUGCCGAAGCUUCUCUCGAUUUUGGCUCAAUAACUGCGCUCAUAUUUCUAAUAACUGGAAUGCAUUACCUGAUUGUUGCAAUUCAUUAUAUACUCAGACCUAAAGACGUAGCUAUAAAACCAACUAAUACUGGUGUCAUGCCAUCGAUAAAUAUACUGGGUGCCAAUAGUACACCAAUUAAUUACAUCAAUGGUAAUAAUGUGAGAAGAGAUGCUGCAGUAAAUGAUACAAAAGAAUCUGUAUUGUUUACUAUGUUGCAUAAAAUUCUUGGCAUCCCAUCGGUACUUAUUUACCAAGCGAACUCAUGUAAAAAUAAACUUUGGUCCUGCGUACCAACCAUGCCGUCUUGGGGUAGAGGUAACUCACAACUGCUUCACGAAGAAAUGUCAUGUUCGUAUUUACCUUCAAAGAAAUCUCGCGAAGAAUUAAUUACUGAUUACACAGGACACUAUCCAAAUAUGUCAGACGAUAUGUCGUCGGCUUCAAUUCACGAAUCACGUAAUUUAUUAAACGAACAUUAUGAUAACUACAACGAAAGCGAUGAUCUUGUUGAUGCGACAGAACUACGCCGUCGUACUACGAGAAACGGGUCGGUAACUAGAAGCAACUUUGUUUAUCCACCGUCACCUUCGAGGAGGUUGGUGAAAUAGGGUGGUCCAAAAAAUUUCAACUUUAAUCUUGAAUAACUUUUGAAAGAGUUGAGUUAUCGAAAAAUUAUAAGAGACCAUUUUUAUAGAUCAUCAUUUCCUACAAAAAUAUUUAGUUGAUAUUUAUGUAUGUAUAUUGCCUCGUCACUGAGCUACGAAAUUCAGAAUGGAAGUAAAAUUAUUUUCGCGUACUAAUUAAAUGGAAAAUGAAAAAUGGGGUUCAGGAACUACUAAAUAUUAACAUUAUGGGCUCAAAUUUUAGCAGACAUCUUGUUUCCUCUUCCUACAACUGUUAAAGGUGUGAUGAAGACGAUUUUUCUUGACCUUGAUGACUUGUUGAUUAAUGUUAUUCUUGGAUAUGAAGGUCACAACUGAAAACACUUUUUUAUAGUGUUAACGUUUCAGCCCUGAUGGGGGCCCUCCUCAGAACCAAUUUAUUUAAACAUCUGUCACGAACAAAAAUAAUAAAAUAAUGUACAACUCCGUUAUAACAAAAUUAAACAUAAGUGGUUUAGAUAAUAAGCAAGGAUGUUUAUGCAGAUAUAAAUGAGAGGAAUUACCUAGUGUGGGAUGACACUUUCAAUUACAGCAGACAGAGAACACUCUUAAGUAGUGAAAGCGUGUUGGUGAAUAAAUAAUAAAUAGAAAGAAUAAAAAAAAAACAAAAACCGAAGCACACUGCGAUCGCGAUACGUAGUUCCCAAGACUUCAUCCUUGUAGUUAAUUUGAUAAAAUAAAACACACAGCCGUUAUAGGUUUAAAUCAAGAGCACAUUUGCACAUGUGGAACGUCCAGUGUGUAGUGGGGGGAGAUCGAUAUCGAUAGUUAUCAGAGCAAACGCAGAGUCAACGGGUUAAAAGGAAACCAAAAUUUUGUUAAGAAGGUAAAAUCGAGAGCAAGCUCAGUCGGUAAUGGAUAAUUACAAUGGUUGUAUCACAGAGAUGUAAAUAGUACUCAGAUGUUCGAUGUUUUGUCUUCGGUUGACAGAAUUGGGAUGUGCAACAAUAUUGCACAUUUCUAACAAUAGCCUGUUGUAAUACAAUGGUUCAACGUCAAUAAUGCUGGCUUGAGAAUAAUUGAAAGAGUGGUCGAAAUCGGUGGCAUGCCUUGUCAGUGCAGUAUAAUUUAUAUAAUUUAAACCUAUAACGGCUGUGUGUUUUAUUUUAUCAAAUUAACUACAAGGAUGAAGUCUUGGGAACUACGUAUCGCGAUCGCAGUGUGCUUCGGUUUUUGUUUUUUUUUUUAUUGUUUCUAUUUAUUAUUUAUUCACCAACACGCUUUCACUACUUAGGAGUGUUCUCUGUCUGCUGUAAUUGAAAGUGUCAUCCCACACUAGCAACACACCUUUUAUGACUGGUACCAGCAAAAACCAAUGUGGUGCAUUAACCAGAACUGGAAAACGAUGCCGUUUAUCUUCAAAUCUUGGAGGGAAUUUUUGUCACCGCCACAGCAAUGGGUCUUCCUUUAUGGGUGACUAAACUCCAAGGGACGUUAAUACGAG